rnacentral:rRNA from 1 species
CUAAAAACCUAGCCCAACAAACAUGAAUUUUACUAAAUUAACUAAACCCCUUUAACAAACCAUUUUAACAUUCUAGUAAAGGAGAUUGAAAAACUUAUUUGGAGCUAUAAAAACAGUACCGCAAGGGAACGGUGAAAUAUUAUGAAAAACUUCAAGCAGCAAAAAGUAAAGAUUACCUCUUGUACCUUUCGCAUCAUGGUUUAACUAGUUUAACCAAGCAAAACGUAUUUAAGUUUGACUUCCCGAAACUAAGUGAGCUACUUCAGGGCAGCUAGAAGAGCAAACCCGUCUCUGUAGCAAAAGAGUGGGACGACCCUCAAGUAGUGGUGACAGACCUAACGAACUUAGUGAUAGCUGGUUGCUCAAGAAACGGAUUUAAGUCCAACCUGAAAGUUUUAUAACCUAAGUUCAUCAAAACAAUCACCUAGCUUUCAGCGUAAUUCAAAUAAGGUACAGCCUAUUUGAAACAGGAUACAACCUAGCCUAGUGGAUAAGAUCAGCCUAGCAUACAAUCAAGUGGGCCUAAAAGCAGCCACCUUUAAUACAGCGUCAAAGCUAAAUUGUAACCGAGCCCAAUUACUUAACCCAUAUCUUAAUCCCCUGCCAGUACUGAGUAAUUCUAUAAUAUUAUAGAAAUUUUUAUGUUAAAACUAGUAACAAGAAGAAGAUUCUUCUCUUAAAUGUACAUAUAAAUCAGAAAAGACAAGCUACUGAUACUUAACACCUCUGAGCAUAAAGUAGUAACUAACCAAGAAAACUCUACUUUUACUGGUGUUAAUCUAACACAAGAACAUUCUAAGAAAGA